rfam:Brachypodium distachyon strain Bd21 chromosome 5, whole genome shotgun sequence.
AUAAUACUCCAUCCGUCCCAUAUUAAGUGACUUUCUAUUACAUGUAUCUAGACGUAUUUUAGUAUAUAGAUACGUCCAUAUUUAGACAAAUUUGAGUCACUUAAUAUGGGACGCAGGGAGUACAAC